GACGAACGCUGGCGGCGUGCUUAACACAUGCAAGUCGAACGCAGUGGCGAACGGGUGAGUAACGCGUAAUCAACCUGCCCUUCAGCGGGGGACAACAGUUGGAAACGACUGCUAAUACCGCAUACUGAGGGUGGGGCUUGCGUCUGAUUUGGUAGUUGGAGGGGUAACGGCCCACCAAGGCGAUGAUCAGUAGGCCGUCUGGUGGGAGGAACGGCCACAUUUGGGAUGGGGAACGGCCCAGGACCCUACGGGAGGCAGCAGUGGGGAAUCUUCCGCAAUUGACGGAAGUCUGACGGGGCAACGCCGGGUGAGUGAUGACGGGCUUCGGGUUGUAAAGCUCUGUUAAUCGGGACGCGGUACCGGAAUAGAAAGCCACGGCUAACUACGUGCCAGCAGCCGCGGUAAUUC
rnacentral:rRNA from 1 species